GUGAAAGACUAUCAAUACGUCCUCACGGUGACAGACCUGUUCACCAAGUGGGUUAUCGCUGAGCCUUUGAAGUGUGGCUCCAGCACUGAGGUGGCUGAGGCACUUGUAUCAAAGCUGUACACAUUUGGUAUGGUCUGAAAAAUCAUCACUGACAGGGGCCGUGCAUUUGUUAACGAGCUUAAUGCACACAUAUUUGCGGUGCUGAACAUCAAGCAUGCAUGCAUCAAGCACAAGUGCAUACCAUCCCCAGUCAAACGGCCAAGAUGAGAGAACUAAUGAAAAUGUGAAGAGGACUCUCAGAAUAAGUUAAUCAGCACCAGGAUGAUUGGGACAUCCACCUGCAGGCCAUAGUUUAUGGAAUAAACACUGCAAAAUGACUAGAUAACGUAUUUUGUGGUUCAAUGCAAUCUAACAAAACCUCCACCAAGUACAGCCCAUACUUUUUAAUGUACAAUAGGCACCCCCGUCUACCAUUAAAUGCCUGUGAGACAGACGCCGCCUUUGAAUUGGCGGACCCAGAGGAGGAGCUAAAACUAGCUGGAGUCAAGGCCCUCAAUGAAACGGUUUGUUCAGAGUUGUGUGGAUGGCAUGUUCAAUUUGAAUAAGAAUGUUGCCAGCUGUUUAGACGUUAAUGGCUGUAUGUUGAGUUAUUUUCAGAGGACAAUACAUCUA